UGUGAACUCGAAGAGUAGGGCGGGACACGUGGUAUCCUGUCUGAAUAUGGGGGGACCAUCCUCCAAGGCUAAAUACUCCUGACUGACCGAUAGUGAACCAGUACCGUGAGGGAAAGGCGAAAAGAACCCCGGCGAGGGGAGUGAAAAAGAACCUGAAACCGUGUACGUACAAGCAGUGGGAGCACCUUCGGGUGUGACUGCGUACCUUUUGUAUAAUGGGUCAGCGACUUAUAUUCUGUAGCAAGGUUAACCGUAUAGGGGAGCCGCAGGGAAACCGAGUCUUAACUGGGCGUUAAGUUGCAGGGUAUAGACCCGAAACCCGGUGAUCUAGCCAUGGGCAGGUUGAAGGUUGGGUAACACUAACUGGAGGACCGAACCGACUAAUGUUGAAAAAUUAGCGGAUGACUUGUGGCUGGGGGUGAAAGGCCAAUCAAACCGGGAGAUAGCUGGUUCUCCCCGAAAGCUAUUUAGGUAGCGCCUCGUGAAUUCAUCUUCGGGGGUAGAGCACUGUUUCGGCUAGGGGGUCAUCCCGACUUACCAACCCGAUGCAAACUACGAAUACCGAAGAAUGUUAUCACGGGAGACACACGGCGGGUGCUAACGUCCGUCGUGAAGAGGGAAACAACCCAGACCGCCAGCUAAGGUCCCAAAGUCAUGGUUAAGUGGGAAACGAUGUGGGAAGGCACAGACAGCCAGGAUGUUGGCUUAGAAGCAGCCAUCAUUUAAAGAAAGCGUAAUAGCUCACUGGUCGAGUCGGCCUGCGCGGAAGAUGUAACGGGGCUAAACCAUGCACCGAAGCUGCGGCAGCGACACUAUGUGUUGUUGGGUAGGGGAGCGUUCUGUAAGCCUGCGAAGGUGUGCUGUGAGGCAUGCUGGAGGUAUCAGAAGUGCGAAUGCUGACAUAAGUAACGAUAAAGCGGGUGAAAAGCCCGCUCGCCGGAAGACCAAGGGUUCCUGUCCAACGUUAAUCGGGGCAGGGUGAGUCGACCCCUAAGGCGAGGCCGAAAGGCGUAGUCGAUGGGAAACAGGUUAAUAUUCCUGUACUUGGUGUUACUGCGAAGGGGGGACGGAGAAGGCUAUGUUAGCCGGGCGACGGUUGUCCCGGUUUAAGCAUGUAGGCUGGUUGUCCAGGCAAAUCCGGAUAAUCAAGGCUGAGGUGUGAUGACGAGGCACUACGGUGCUGAAGUAACAAAUGCCCUGCUUCCAGGAAAAGCCUCUAAGCAUCAGGUAACAUUAAAUCGUACCCCAAACCGACACAGGUGGUCAGGUAGAGAAUACCAAGGCGCUUGAGAGAACUCGGGUGAAGGAACUAGGCAAAAUGGUGCCGUAACUUCGGGAGAAGGCACGCUGGUGUGUAGGUGAAGUCCCUGCGGAUGGAGCUGAGACCAGUCGAAGAUACCAGCUGGCUGCAACUGUUUAUUAAAAACACAGCACUGUGCAAACACGAAAGUGGACGUAUACGGUGUGACGCCUGCCCGGUGCCGGAAGGUUAAUUGAUGGGGUUAUCCGUAAGGAGAAGCUCUUGAUCGAAGCCCCGGUAAACGGCGGCCGUAACUAUAACGGUCCUAAGGUAGCGAAAUUCCUUGUCGGGUAAGUUCCGACCUGCACGAAUGGCGUAAUGAUGGCCAGGCUGUCUCCACCCGAGACUCAGUGAAAUUGAACUCGCUGUGAAGAUGCAGUGUACCCGCGGCAAGACGGAAAGACCCCGUGAACCUUUACUAUAGCUUGACACUGAACAUUGAGCCUUGAUGUGUAGGAUAGGUGGGAGGCUUUGAAGCGUGGACGCCAGUCUGCGUGGAGCCAACCUUGAAAUACCACCCUUUAAUGUUUGAUGUUCUAACGUUGGCCCCUUACCGGGGUUGCGGACAGUGUCUGGUGGGUAGUUUGACUGGGGCGGUCUCCUCCCAAAGCGUAACGGAGGAGCACGAAGGUUAGCUAAUCCUGGUCGGACAUCAGGAGGUUAGUGCAAUGGCAUAAGCUAGCUUGACUGCGAGCGUGACGGCGCGAGCAGGUGCGAAAGCAGGUCAUAGUGAUCCGGUGGUUCUGAAUGGAAGGGCCAUCGCUCAACGGAUAAAAGGUACUCCGGGGAUAACAGGCUGAUACCGCCCAAGAGUUCAUAUCGACGGCGGUGUUUGGCACCUCGAUGUCGGCUCAUCACAUCCUGGGGCUGAAGUAGGUCCCAAGGGUAUGGCUGUUCGCCAUUUAAAGUGGUACGCGAGCUGGGUUUAGAACGUCGUGAGACAGUUCGGUCCCUAUCUGCCGUGGGCGCUGGAGAAUUGAGGGGGGCUGCUCCUAGUACGAGAGGACCGGAGUGGACGCAUCACUGGUGUUCGGGUUGUCAUGCCAAUGGCACUGCCCGGUAGCUAAAUGCGGAAGAGAUAAGUGCUGAAAGCAUCUAAGCACGAAACUUGCCCCGAGAUGAGUUCUCCCUGAGACUUUAAGUCUCCUGAAGGAACGUU
rnacentral:rRNA from 1 species